CCAUAAUGGAUGCUUUUUUUCAGCUGUAGCUGGAGGCAACAACAGAGGAGAGUGAAGAACUACAAGCCCUUUGCCUCCUAUUUAAACAUCCUGCAGUCAAAAGGCAUGUCAGUCACAGCAAACACUGUGACAGGCAUGGAGCCAGUAAUUUUGCCAUCUGAACCUGGGUCCAAACUCAAUGUGCAGUGGCUGUAAACCGAUAACACCAGCUGCCCUGAGGUCUGUCUUCACAAAUUGGAGUCAUGUUAGGACAG